rnacentral:rRNA from 1 species
CCCCAGCGCCCCAAGCGGGAAUCACGAUUAUUGGGUCUAAAGCGUUCGUAGCAGGUUCUGUAAAUCUUUUGUGAAAUCGGCAGGCUUAACUUGUCGGCGUGCAGGGGACACUGCAGAACUCGAGACCGGGAGAGGCUAGAAGUAUUCCUUGGGUACCGGUAAAAUGGGUUAAUCCAAGGAGGACUACCAAUGGCGAAGGCAUCUAGCCAGAACGGUUCUGACUGUGAGGAACGAAAGCUAGGGGAGCAAAACG